rnacentral:rRNA from 1 species
AGUACGCCGGCAACGGUGAAACUCAAAGGAAUUGACGGGGGCCCGCACAAGCGGAGGAACAUGUGGUUUAAUUCGAUGAUACGCGAGGAACCUUACCCGGGCUCAAACGACGGAUGGAUGUUUCUGAAAGGAGGCAGUCCUACGGGACAUCCGUCGAGGUGCUGCAUGGUUGUCGUCAGCUCGUGCCGUGAGGUGUCGGCUUAAGUGCCAUAACGAGCGCAACCCCCAUCGCCAGUUACCAGCAAGUAAAGUUGGGGACUCUGGCGAGACUGCCGGCGCAAGUUGUGAGGAAGGCGGGGAUGACGUCAAAUCAGCACGGCCCUUACGUCCGGGGCGACACACGUGUUACAAUGGCAGGUACAGAGAGAAGCGAUGCGGCGACGCAGAGCGGAACUUCAAAGCCUGUCUCAGUUCGGAUUGGAGUCUGCAACCCGACUCCAUGAAGCUGGAUUCGCUAGUAAUCGCGCAUCAGCCACGGCGCGGUGAAUACGUUCCCGGGCCUUGUACACACCGCCCGUCAAGCCAUGGAAGCCGGGAGUGCCUGAAGUGUGCAACCGCAAGGAGCGCCCUAAGGUAAAACCGGUGACUGGGGCUAAGUCGUAACAAGGUAACCGU